CCCCUUGCUUCUCUUCUUCCUCGAGCCGCAGCAGCCCCAGCAGCCAGAACACGGGCGUGCCGCCCUUGCUCCCGACCGCCUCCCCUCUCUAUCCAAGCCGCAUACGAGUUCAAAUCAAAUCCUUAUCUAUCUCCACCCGGUUUGAGUCGGAUUGAGUCAAAUCCCCAACUGAAUCCCCUCCUAUCUCUAGCGGAUUUGGGCGGAAUCCCCUCUGCCCAUAAUCGUGUUUCACGCGGACUCUUCGACGGCCAAGCGUUUAUCUCCUUCGAGGGAACCCUGGGCCGCUCCUUAUAAAGGAGGCAGGGGGUGCCCGAGGGGGAUCAGUUUUGGAGAGCCUCGGCGAAGCCAUGCUGCACCAUCAAGCCGUCACCGCCGUUCAGGUCUUGUGCCGCCGCCGCCCUCAAGCUCGUCAGUCUUCCUCAUCCCCACGCCGUCACCGAUAGUGCUGCGCCGAUGGCCGGCCGAACCUCUGCUGCCCUCUCUGGUGCUCAUGUGAAGUCCCGGCGCCAGGGGCCCUCCGUCCAGCGGUGGAACUAUAAGCUAUUCGUGUUCGGUGACUCCUUCGCCGACACCGGCAACCACCUGCCGACAUCACAAAAGAGCCUGAUGUCGCGUGAAUGGUACUACCCGUACAACAGCUCAGACUCGGCCCACGGCAACCGUGCAGCCGGGCGCUUCUCUGACGGCCUAAUACAGUCAGAUUUCCUCGCAAAGAUUCUGGGGCGCGACGAGUCCUCUCCGCCGAACAGGUCUCGGAAGCGGAACGAUGCUGACCCAUUUGGCGUGAACUUUGCCGUGGCCGGCUCCGGCAUGUAUGACAAGGGGUCGCCGGAGGUGCCUUCGCUCGGCAGGCAGAUCGAUUAAUUCAGGAGGCUAGUGACCCACGGAAUCAUCGAGGAAGAGGACCUUGAGGACUCGGUAGCGCUCGUCGCCAUCUCCGUCGGCUAUGACUAUGCACACGUCGACCACACGAACAGCUCCGACGACAUGAGUAUUUAUUAAUUCAACAAGUGCACGCGAUGAUCGCCUUGAGCGGAAACAUGACAAACGAGAUCCUCGACGGCGUGAGGGGACUACAUAAGCUGGGUGUGGGCAAGGUGCUGGUGAACUCGCUGCCCCUUCUUGGCUGCACGCUGUGGCAGUCCUGGUCUAACAACUACAACCAUUGUGAGAGCCACGACAACAUGCUCGCCAACAUGCACAACACGGCUCUCAAAGAGAAGUUGGAUAAAUCAGAAAUCGCACUCGUGCUCAGACCUCUACACCAUAUUCAGCAACCUCGUGCAACCCAACUCCGGCUCGACGCUGUUGAAUCAGUUCAAGCACAAGCACAAGUACACGCCGUGCUGCGAUACCUCCGACCCAAACGGCUACGGUGGGCAAGAUGACCGCAACGGCAACGCGCAGUACACCCUAUGCUCUAACCCGAACAAGUCAUUCUACUGGGACUACAUACAUCCGAUGCAGGCCGCCUGGAUGGCCGUAAUGGAGCUCCCGGAAGGACCCAUCAAGGUUUUCUUGGCAUCUCUUCUUGGUAGCUAUUAGCUACGUACCACGCAUGAGUGCUCUUGUUAAUUAGCUAGGUUUUCCAUUAGUUAAGAUCGAGUCUAUUUUAAUUAGGUUAUUUAGGCUUAUACUCGAUCUCUCUGGCCAAAAAUGUUUUGGACAUGACACGCUUUCUAGUAUGUACCUUUCAUCAUUAUUUAAAGUCUGAUCGGAUCUUGUUCAAAGCUAUUCGUGACCGUCUGUACUAUAUAAUA